GAUAGGAGCAGGAGCACCCCGGGAGGGAAAGCGCCCACAGGAGCUCGUUUCCGCGAGCGGGAAACUGGACCGCUUGAACACCUCCGCCCGUCGAUGUCUAACCUCGAAGCUGCUCCGGCGGCUCCACAGGUCGACCUGCCCGCGGAUCCGGAGGAAUCCCCGACAACUAACCUGACCGGAGCGAGAAGCCAGCCGGCGCCCGCUGCAGAGCACGCCCUGCCCAUCAAGAAGCCGGAAGAAGUGGCAGCAUCUUUCAGUGCACCGCUGAAUUUGGCAGUGGAGGAUGUGACUGACAGCUCUGUGACCCUAACAUGGGAUGGUCCUGAAAAUGUGGGCCCUUCUGGUCUGGACGGAUAUGUAGUGGAGUACUGCAAAGAUGGAACAACAAACUGGGUGACAGCCAACAACAAACCCUUUCUUUGUAUUCGUUACACAAUCCACAAUUUAAUAUGUGGAGAUAAACUUCAUAUUCGAGUGAAAGCUGUGAAAGGUAAUGCAGUUAGUCAACCAGCAUUUCUGGACCAGCCGCUUCUCAUCAGAAAAAUUCUUGAGCAGCCCAAGAUCCGACUUCCACGCUACUUAAGAGAAUUGUACCUGAGGACUGUGGGGGAUACGAUAAACCUCUUGAUCCCAUUCUGGGGAAAGCCAAAGCCACAAGUGACCUGGACCAAAGAAAGCCAACCUUUGGACCCCAAACAAGUUGUUGUACGCAACACUGAGAAGGAUUCUGUAUUCUUUAUUCGUGCAGCACAACGCAAAGAUUCUGGAAAAUACCAAAUAAGUGUUAAGAUCUUAGAUGAAUUUGAAGAUGUGGCUACCUUUGAUCUCCUGGUGAUUGAGAAACCAGGCCCUCCUGAGAAUCUAAAGGUGGUAGACACCUGGGGCUUUAAUGUUGCGUUAGAAUGGAACCCACCCCAGGAUAAAGGCAAUGCUGAUCUCAAGGGCUACACGGUCCAAAAAGCAGAUAUGAAGAUUCAACAAUGGUUCACAGUUUUGGAACAUUACAACCAUACAAGCUGCACAGUAUCUGAUCUCGUCAUUGGCAACAGUUAUUCUUUCCGAGUUUUCUCAGAAAAUCCUUGUGGUCUAAGUGAAACGGCUGCUGUCACAAAGAAUGUAACGCACAUAACAAAAUCAGGAAUUGUGUACAAACCAGAGAAGUUCCAUAGCCGGGAUUUCUGUGAACCUCCCAAAUUCACUCAGCCACUGAUAGACAGAACCACCACACAGGGCUACAGCACCCAGCUCGUCUGCUGUGUCCGAGGCUUCCCAAAGCCCAAAGUGAUGUGGAUGAAAAACCAAAGGGAGAUUCAAGAAGACCCAAAGUAUCUAGUACACAUGGACCAGGGGAUUUGCUGUCUAGAAAUCCGCAAACCUAGCCCUUUUGAUGGUGGUGUCUAUACAUGCAAAGCUGUGAACCCUUUUGGUGAAGCCUCUGUAGAUUGCAAAUUGAAUAUAAAAGUUCCAGAAUGAUGAUAUCUGGGAAAUCAGAUGAAGAACAAGGUAGGAUAAACUGCCACUUAAGUCUGUUGGAGAACAUUAGAUAUCAACCUGAAUGCAAGCUUCAAGAAUCCAUCUUAGACCUGAUUACAAUCCAGGACCACUAAUGCACUUAUGUUGCCAGGUCCUUGCAAAAUUCUCUUCUGGGUUCUCAGCUCGGGAGAGUCCUUCACGGUUCCUAGGUGGGAUCUGGAGCUUGGAAAUAAUUUUAUCACUGUGGCUUUUCAAAAGCAGAAAGUUCACCUGCUGCUGCACUGGCUCUAUAAAUAGCAACUACCAUGUUUCCUGUAAUACCAAGAUUGUCAUCUAUGCCUCUUGAUAUUUAGCCCUGCAGAACAAAUACCGAAUAAAGAAAUAUAUGUUAUGAGAAUGAAAUGAUUCCUGUAGAAAAUGUAGAGGGGGGCUGGAAUGCUCCGAUCAACCUUUCCUAACCUUAUGUCCUUCAGUGUAUUGGACACGCAAUUAAGGUUAAAGAAGGGUAUUCUGAUUCAUUACUACUCUGUGACUAUGUUCCUUUUCUGUCUAUUGUUAUUAUUACCUAACAUUAAGCCAGGAUUUUUAAACAAGCAAUAUUUAUUUAUUAAAUUUAUUUGCCACCCAUCUGAUUUCAAAUGACUCUAGGUGACUUACAGCAUUUUGUUAGUUGCAAAAUCAUGUCCGACCCAUCGUGACCCCAUGGACAACGUUCCUCCAGGCCUUCCUGGCCUCUACCAUCCUCUGGAGUCCAUUUAAUCUUACGCACACUGCUUCAGUGACUCCAUCCAGCCACCUCCUUCUCUGUCAUCCCCAUCUUCUUUUGCCCUCAAUUGUUCCCAGCAUUAGGCUCUUCUCCAAUGAGUCCUUCCUUCUCAU